AGUGAACGCUGGCGGUAGGCCUAACACAUGCAAGUCGAACGGCAGCACAGUAAGAGCUUGCUCUUACGGGUGGCGAGUGGCGGACGGGUGAGGAAUACAUCGGAAUCUACUUUUUCGUGGGGGAUAACGUAGGGAAACUUACGCUAAUACCGCAUACGACCUACGGGUGGAAGCAGGGGAUCUUCGGACCUUGCGCGAUUGAAUGAGCCGAUGUCGGAUUAGCUAGUUGGCGGGGUAAAGGCCCACCAAGGCGACGAUCCGUAGCUGGUCUGAGAGGAUGAUCAGCCACACUGGAACUGAGACACGGUCCAGACUCCUACGGGAGGCAGCAGUGGGGAAUAUUGGACAAUGGGCGAAAGCCUGAUCCAGCCAUACCGCGUGGGUGAAGAAGGCCUUCGGGUUGUAAAGCCCUUUUGUUGGGAAAGAAAAGCAGCAGGUUAAUACCCCGCCGUUCUGUCGGUACCCAAAGAAUAAGCACCGGCUAACUUCGUG
rnacentral:rRNA from 1 species